rnacentral:misc_RNA from 1 species
AGGAGGAUCUCUUCCACAUCCGACCAGUAUGAGAAUUAGAUUUGAAUGUUUGCCUCUGCCUGAAGCACUAAGUGAUGUGGAAGUUGUAGAUUGAUGUGCUGGUGCUUCAACAACAGGUGAUGAAGCAACAAUAGGAGCUUGGGAAGGUGCUGGCGGCUCAAACCAGGUAAGAUUGAGGAGUCUGUAAUCACCCACGAGGGUGGAGUCAAAAUGAACCUUAUGUAAGGCAAGUGAAGAAUUUAUUGAAGACACAUCACUGGCAGAAAAGCUGAUUCCUGUAUGAGGAGUAAUAUCCAUUGAAAUAUUUAAUCUUGAUAAGCUGAGUACAUAAAAGUUGAUCAACUCAAUUUGAGAAACUAGCAAAUCAAGCUGGGAAGCUAAUUCUUGCAGAAAUUUUCCCCAGUUAGGACUUUGUGAAACAUUCAAAAGGAGAAGGUCAAGCUUUAUG